UUAGAUCUAAUAUGAUAUUAACGUAAAUAGACUAUAGGUAAGUUUAAAAGGGGUAAUAUAGUUAUUCACUAACUAUAAUUUGAUUUUUACUCAAAAGCUACUUUUAUCAUUUAAAAAAUGAUAUUUUAUCGGAAACUUAUACUUUGUAUUUUUUUAUUUUUUUAUUUUUUGAGUUAGCUAUUAAUCAUUUGAAGACAACUUUAGAACGAUAUUAUAAAUUAUUACUCCGCAUUUUUUUAUAUAAAAAAGAAGAUUUAGCUACACAUUCAUAGUUUUUCCUCGAUUUGGAUAACAUCAAAAUUUAGUGCAAAUCUAUUUUUGGUAACAGUCCAAAAUGUAACGAUUGGCAUACAGGCAUAAUUCUAAGGCUCACCGCUUAUGACAGCCGUAAUAAGGAAAGAAAAUGUUAAGCUUAUCUAUUUUUAUAUAUUCAAACCACGCCAAAGAAAAUACAAGUAUAUAUUAACAUUUUAAUUCCCACAAAUUAAUCUCGGGAAAAAUGAAUAAGUUUUCAUUUCCAUCUUUACUUCUAAUUUCCCUCGUCCUAACUUCUUUGGCCCUUGACAUUGUUGAUGCUACAUCAUCCCCUGCCGUAGGGAAUUAUACAGCCCCGGAAUUAUGCCCAAGCAAAUGUGCGUGGAGAUGCUCCAGGAAUCCACGAAACUUGUGUAAGAAAUUGUGUGUAAUGUGUUGCUCAAAGUGCAAGUGUGUACCUUCAGGUCCAUUAGCCGAUAAAGCCGAGUGCCCUUGUUAUAGAGACUGGAAGAACAAGAAAGGCACUGAUAAGUGCCCUUAAAUUUACAAUUUGGCUCACUUGCUUAAGUGUCUCUACUCGUGUGUGUAAUUUUAUUUUAAUGUUAAUUUCUUGAUGUCAUACUUUGAUAUAGUUUUUGCAUAGACAAAACACAUAUGAAUAUAUGAUGAAAGUAAAUUUGUGGAGAUAAUUAAACUAUACUUGUAUUUUUUUUAGUUGAAGCUGACAUUGCAAUAAUAUUUUGAUUUUUACACUCGUCAUUUGUCAAAAUACAACCAUUGAUGACUAGGCAAGGUUCUUAAAUUAUUUGCUGACUAGACAAGGACUCUACAUUAUUUGGCCGAAAAUAGUACUAUUUUGUGGUUGAGAAAUCAAAUUACAUCACUCAAUACUUGAGGUACUAAAACACUACAAAUACAUUAGUUUAGGAACCAUAUUUAACCUUAAUUCAAUUUAAUUUGCCACAACAUAACACUUGAACUUAAUCAAUUACUACGUAGAUGGAUUAUUCUGGAUAGCCAAAAAAAAAAAAAAAAAAAAAAAAAAAAAACUU